rnacentral:lncRNA from 1 species
CCCGCUGCCAAGAAGGUCAGUAGAGAAAAGAUUUUGCCACGUUGGCUAGGCUGCUCUGGAACUCUUGACCUCAGGUGAUCUGCCUGCCACCCAACCUACUGGGAUUACAGUAGCCAGUCCUGCCAGGGUUCUGGCUGUGCCGGGACAGUGAAUGGCCACUCCGUCCCAGAUGAGCUGCAGGAAGCGUUUCGAUGUCAUGUGGAGGCCUGCGCAGAGUGGGAGCCAGACUUUGGGGUCCAGGUCAAGGCCAGAGGGUGAAGGGGACAUGAUUCAGCGCUGUGGGCCUGCGGACG